rnacentral:lncRNA from 1 species
AGAAAGGAGAUGUGUGUAUGAGUUCUGCAGAAGUCCACCAAAUGUGGGCCAGGGUUAUUUCCCUGGUGAUGCUCUGAAGCUUUUGCCAAAGGACAAAUGGGAAACAGGAAGUAUAAUCAUGCACUGGGGUAAAGAAGAUUCAUCUGCUCUUAGCUACCUACCAUGCCAACACUCCUGAGAAAGCUCACAGAGGCCCAUGAUGCCCACCUGGAUCUGAGGACCUAGAAAGCCACAACAGGCAACCAUAAUCUGGGUCUUCCCUCAGCCAACUCCCCUGCAUAAAGUGAAUGAAUG